UUAGCUGGCAAUCAUUCUACAAAUUUUAAACGUCAAAAUAAACAUGGUGAAAUAUUUAGAACGUGCGACAGCGAAGAGGAGGCCGAAAUUGAAGUUGUAAAGAAUACGAAAUUACACAUGAAACAAGUGAAGAAUCUAUUGUAAAUUCACUUAUUAAAAUUUUAACAACUGACGGAAAGAAAUUUUUAUUUUUGGAUAGCGAGCGAUUUAAAGAAAUUCUUGAUCCAAUUUAUAAUGCCAUUGGUAUGAACCCAAACACGUCGAGAAACUUUAUGAGUUUCGUAUCCGUAAGAAACGAAAAUGAAUCAAAAUAUGUGACGCUGUGAGUAAAAAAGACAACUUAUUGAAAAGACCGUUUGCGUUGACUUUUUUAGCCAAUCGGUCUGUGCCAGCGUCACUCGUAUCUCUCUUUGUGCGAUGUUCGAUAAGAAAGAGUCUCACGAACAGCUCAACGUAAAACGCUAAACGGUAAACCGAAACGAAAAGAAACGAAGUCUGCUGUUCAUAGAGAGAACGAGGGUGCAUGCUCUUAUACCCGAUACUUAAAAUUAGUAUAGUGGUAUAUCCCAGCAAACUAACAAACAUGCCUUUUGCAUGUACGAUAUGGUUUUGUAUCGCAAAACUCACGCAAACGAGGUCGCAAGCGAGACAAAAAUGAGCUCUAAUUCUUGGGUCGCAAAACGCUCGCAAACGAGUGCGCAAGCGGGAGUUUUACAUUAGGAAAGUGCGCUGCGACUGUGCUGCCGGUCCGGCAAGCUUCCUUCGACAGAUUAGUGGUCGAGAAGUCAUUCGUGUUUUUCUUUUGCUACAUGUGUCCAGCAUUAGAAACAAGUGCUAAUAAAGCGUGCGUUCCUUGCGCCGGCAUUUCAAUUAUUUUCGUCGAACUGUGCAGUGCAAAGUUAGAAAAUCUACAAUCUCUUACGCAUUUACUAGAAAUUUCUACCAAUAGAUCAAGGAAUUAAUCGCUAUCAAUGAAAAAACGUUUUAUAAGCUUAUAAGGAGCUCCUGGCGACAGAUUACAAGCAAUGAUGUGGCGAAGUUUUUCUCCUGGCGUGGGACAGAAUCCAAAAAGUGUGUAAGAGGACUUCGAACCACUUUAGCACUAAGAAGUGCAUUUAAACAGAAGCUUGCGCUCGAGGAUCAGGACUACGACCAUACAACUCAAAAAUAUUUCCAGUAUGCUCAGGAACGGAAGGCCAGAUUGGAAAAAAGUGAUGGCAAAAAGCUUAAAUUGUAGUACAUAAUACAUACA